AGCAUAAUCAUUAGUCUAUUAAUUGUUGACUUGUAUGAAUGGUUGGACGAGAUAUUAACUGUCUCAUAUUAUUUUUUUAGAAUUUAAAUUUUUAGUUAAAAUGCUUAAAUUUUAUUAUAGGACGAGAAGACCCUAUAGAUCUUUAUUAAUUGAUUUUUUAAUUUGUUUAGGUUAUUAUUUAUUAGUAUUUUUAUUAGUUUUGUUGGGGUGACAUAGGGAUAUAGUUAACUCCUUAUUAUUUUUUUUUACAUUUAUUUUUGUGUAUUUGACCUUUUAUUAUUGUUAUAAGAUAAAGAUACCUUAGGGAUAACAGCGUAAUUCUUUUUGAGAGUUCAUAUCGACAAAGGAGAUUGCGACCUCG
rnacentral:rRNA from 1 species